UGGGGAAUAUUGCACAAUGGGCGCAAGCCUGAUGCAGCCAUGCCGCGUGUAUGAAGAAGGCCUUCGGGUUGUAAAGUACUUUCAGCGGGGAGGAAGGUGUUGAGGCUAAUAACCUCAGCAAUUGACGUUACCCGCAGAAGAAGCACCGGCUAACUCCGUGCCAGCAGCCGCGGUAAUACGGAGGGUGCAAGGGUUAAUCGGAAUUACUGGGCGUAAAGCGCACGCAGGCGGUCUGUCAAGUCGGAUGUGAAAUCCCCGGGCUCAACCUGGGAACUGCAUUCGAAACUGGCAGGCUAGAGUCUUGUAGAGGGGGGUAGAAUUCCAGGUGUAGCGGUGAAAUGCGUAGAGAUCUGGAGGAAUACCGGUGGCGAAGGCGGCCCCCUGGACAAAGACUGACGCUCAGGUGCGAAAGCGUGGGGAGCAAACA
rnacentral:rRNA from 1 species